AACGGUCGCACCAAGGUCACGAUACAUAGGGGGUUCUGAGAGGUAGUACCCCCACACUGGUACUGAGACACGGACCAGACUCCACGGGAGGCAGCAGUAGGGAAUAUUGGUCAAUGGACGCAAGUCUGAACCAGCCAUGCCGCGUGCAGGAAGACGGNCCUCUGGGUUGUAAACUGCUUUUAUAUAGGAAGAAACCCCUGGAUGCGUUAGGGGCUGACGGUACUAUAUGAAUAAGG
rnacentral:rRNA from 1 species